CCUACGGGGGGCAGCAGUGGGGAAUAUUGCACAAUGGGCGCAAGCCUGAUGCAGCCAUGCCGCGUGUGUGAAGAAGGCCUUCGGGUUGUAAAGCACUUUCAGCGGGGAGGAAGGCGUUAAGGUUAAUAACCUUGUCGAUUGACGUUACCCGAAGAAGAAGCACCGGCUAACUCCGUGCCAGCAGCCGCGGUAAUACGGAGGGUGCAAGCGUUAAUCGGAAUUACUGGGCGUAAAGCGCACGCAGGCGGUCCGUCAAGUCGGAUGUGAAAUCCCCGGGCUCAACCUGGGAAGUCAUUCGAAACUGGCAGGCUAGAGUCUUGUAGAGGGGGGUAGAAUUCCAGGUGUAGCGGUGAAAUGCGUAGAGAUCUGGAGGAAUACCGGUGGCGAAGGCGGCCCCCUGGACAAAGACUGACGCUCAGGUGCGAAAGCGUGGGGAGCAAACAGGAUUAGAUACCCGAGUAGUC
rnacentral:rRNA from 1 species